CUUAAAACCAAAUAAGUUGGAUAAAAAAAAAAAAAUUUUUUUUGGUCCUCCUUUGCAAUUUUAUGUGGAGAUUACAUCCACUUUCCAUAGUGCAUAAAAAAAAAUUAAAAAAAAUUUAAAAAAAANNNNNNNUUACUGCAAUAUGUAUAUUCGUUACAUAACUAUCUUGGUAAGAAUCCAUGCCGGGAAAUUGCAAUCUCAAACGCUUGUAUUCUUUCCCCUCGAGGAUAACCAUUGCAAUCAUAAGAUGAUAUUUCAUUAAUAUUAAGAUUUACACAAGCC
rnacentral:misc_RNA from 1 species